rnacentral:rRNA from 1 species
UUUGUUCCUGAGCCUUGUACACACCGCCCGUCAAGCCACCCGAGUUGGUAGCACCCGAAGUCGUAGUUCCAACCGUAAGGAGGGACGCGCCGAAGGUGAAACCGGUGAGGGGGACU